AUUGAACGCUGGCGGAAUGCUUUACACAUGCAAGUCGAACGGUAGAGGGGGCAACCCCUUGAGAGUGGCGAACGGGUGAGUAAUAUAUCGGAACGUGCCCAGUCGUGGGGGAUAACGUAGUGAAAAUUACGCUAAUACCGCAUACGAUCUAAGGAUGAAAGCGGGGGAUCGCAAGACCUCGCGCGAUUGGAGCGGCCGAUAUCAGAUUAGGUAGUUGGUGGGGUAAAGGCCCACCAAGCCAACGAUCUGUAGCUGGUCUGAGAGGACGACCAGCCACACUGGAACUGAGACACGGUCCAGACUCCUACGGGAGGCAGCAGUGGGGAAUUUUGGACAAUGGGCGAAAGCCUGAUCCAGCCAUUCCGCGUGCAGGAUGAAGGCCCUCGGUUUGUAAACUGCUUUUGUACAGAACGAAAAGGUUUCUACUAAUACUAGGAGCUCAUGACGGUACUGUAAGAAUAAGCACCGGCUAACUACGUGCCAGCCGCCGCGGUAAGAC
rnacentral:rRNA from 1 species